UACGGGGGGGGCAAGCGUUGUUCGGAAUUACUGGGCGUAAAGGGCUCGUAGGCGGCCAACUAAGUCAGACGUGAAAUCCCCCGGCUUAACCUGGGAACUGCGUCUGAUACUGGGAGGCUUGAGUAUGGGAGAGGGAUGUAGAAUUCCAGGUGUAGCGGUGAAAUGCGUAGAUAUCUGGAGGAAUACCGGUGGCGAAGGCGGCAUCCUGGACCAUUACUGACGCUGAGGCGCGAAAGCUAGGGGAGCAAACGGG
rnacentral:rRNA from 1 species